rnacentral:lncRNA from 1 species
AAGCUUUUACGAGGUAUCAGCACUUUUCUUUCAUUAGGGGGAAGGAGUGAGGAAAGUACCAAACAGCAGCAGACUUUUAAACUUUAAAUAGACAGGUCUGAGUGCCUGAACUUGCUUUUUCAUUUUACUUCAUCCUCUGAGGCGUGCCUACUUCACUUCUUUUAAGGGAAAGAGUAGUGUCCGGGCAACAUGGGUGACUGGAGUGCCUUAGGCAAACUCCUUGACAAGGUUCAAGCCUAUUCCACCGCUGGAGGGAAGGUGUGGCUGUCAGUCCUUUUCAUUUUCCGAAUCCUGCUCUUGGGCACAGCUGUUGAGUCAGCCUGGGGUGAUGAGCAGUCUGCCUUUCGUUGUAACACUCAGCAACCCGGUUGUGAAAAUGUCUGCUAUGACAAAUCCUUCCCCAUCUCUCACGUGCGUUUCUGGGUCCUGCAGAUCAUAUUUGUGUCUGUUCCUACACUCUUGUACCUGGCUCAUGUGUUCUACGUGAUGCGAAAGGAAGAGAAACUGAACAAGAAAGAGGAGGAACUCAAAGUUGCCCAAACUGACGGUGUCAACGUGGAGAUGCACUUAAAGCAGAUAGAAAUAAAGAAGUUUAAGUACGGCAUUGAGGAGCACGGCAAGGUGAAAAUGCGAGGGGGCUUGCUGCGAACCUACAUCAUCAGUAUCCUCUUCAAGUCUGUCUUCGAGGUGGCCUUCUUGCUGAUCCAAUGGUACAUCUAUGGAUUCAGCCUGAGUGCUGUUUACACUUGCAAAAGAGAUCCCUGCCCGCACCAGGUGGACUGUUUCCUCUCUCGUCCCACGGAGAAAACCAUCUUCAUCAUCUUCAUGCUGGUCGUAUCCUUGGUGUCUCUCGCCUUGAACAUCAUCGAACUCUUCUAUGUCUUCUUCAAGGGUGUUAAGGAUCGUGUGAAGGGAAAGAGUGAUCCUUACCACGCCACCACCGGUCCACUGAGCCCCUCCAAAGACUGUGGAUCUCCAAAAUACGCUUAUUUCAAUGGCUGCUCCUCACCAACUGCUCCGCUCUCACCCAUGUCCCCUCCCGGAUACAAGCUGGUUACCGGAGACAGAAACAAUUCUUCCUGCCGCAAUUACAACAAACAAGCGAGUGAGCAAAACUGGGCUAAUUACAGUGCCGAGCAGAAUCGAAUGGGGCAGGCAGGAAGCACCAUCUCUAACUCCCAUGCACAGCCUUUUGAUUUCCCCGAUGACAACCAGAAUUCUAAAAAACUCGAUGCUGGCCAUGAACUCCAGCCUCUAGCCAUUGUGGACCAGCGGCCUUCCAGCAGAGCCAGCAGUCGCGCCAGCAGCCGACCUCGGCCUGAUGACCUGGAGAUCUAGAGCCAAUCUUGAGAACAUCAAGAUUCCACUCAGUUGUGGAGAAGAAAAAGGUGCUAUAGAAAGUGCACCUUAGGUGUUCAUUUUUUUUCCAGUGGAGGUGGUACUCAACAGCCUUGUCACAAGGCUUAGAAAACACAAAGACAUUAGAAUACCUGGUUCAUAGGGGGUGUUAGGGAUAGGUGGGUGGAGAGGGAGGGGAUGAGGGAGGUACAGGUUGGUAUUUAAUGUAGUUGACUUAAAGAACUUAAGUUCUAAAUAACAGUUGCAUUAGGUGAUCUAUAGGUAAGGGCUUUUUCUCCUCCCCAUACCCUUAAGAAUAGCUCUGUGUAUGUGAAAGAGUGGGUGAUGUUUUUGGCUAAAUACUUUUUUCAUUUUACCAAGAAACUGAAAUAACUUUGGCCAGGAGAAAAUACUUCCUGAACAUUUUAUUUCUCUUUUUCAAGAAAAAGACAGAGGAUUUUCCUUGAGUCCCUGCUAAAACAUUCCAUUGUUAAAAUUUGCACUUUGAAGGUAAGCUUUUUAGGCCUGACCCUCCAGGUGUCAAUGGACUUGUGCUACUAUAUUUUUUAAUCUUGGUAUCAGUUAAAAGUUCAGACAAGGCCCACAGAAAAAGAUGUUCCAAGCAUUUGCAAAUCUUAGCCGGUUACACAAACCUUCUUUUUUACAUCCACUUGCUUAUAUUAUUACCAUCACUUUACGUCAUUCCUCAACUACUAUCACAUCCAUUUAAUGAUUUCUGUAAACAUUUUUUAAACAGUUAGGAUGUCACUUAACAUUUUUUGAGUUAGAGUCAGGGAAGCAAGCCAUGCUCAAUAUUUAACAAUCACUUGUAUGUAUAUGUUUGUGGAAGAGUGUGUUUUAUUUGUCAUGUAUUGGUACAAGCAGAUGCAGUAUAAACUCACAAACACAGAUUUGAAAAUAAUGCACACAGUGUUCAAAUUUGAACUUUUCUCAUGGAUUUCAUGGUAUGGGCCAACAUGGUGUUUACAUUAUAUAAUUCCUGCUGUGCAAGUAAAGCACACUUUUUUUUCCCUAAAAUUUUUUUUCCCCAUGUAUCCUAUUAUGGAUACUAGUUUUGUUAAUUAUGAUUCUUUUUUUUCUCUUUUCUUUUUUUUUAGAAUAUAGCAGUUAAUGCUAUUGCUGAAAUGAAUGAUUUUUUUUCUGAAAUAUAAUCAUUGAUGCUUGAAUGAUAGAAUUUUAGUACUGUAAACAGGCUUUAGUAAUUAAUGUGAGAGACUUAGAAGAAAUGCUUAGAAUGGACUAUUGAGUGUGCCUAAAUGAAUUCUGCAGUAACUGGUAUUCUUGGUUUUGUGCUACUUAAUACACAUUAAUUCAGAAACUGUAUUCUGUUAUGAGUUUGACAGUCUUUUGGAGCAACCAACAACUUUGAUGUUUGCACUAAGAUUUUAUUUGGAAUGCAAGAGAGGUUGAAAGAGCUUUCAGUAGUACACAUGUAACUAAUUUAUUUGAAAUCUGUCCUAAAGAAAUCUACCAGUUUGUUCAAAUGCCUUUUUAAAAUUCAUCACAGAUAAUUAGUGAAAACGCGGAGUAUCGUACUUUUCUUCUUGCAUGUCAACAACAUAAACAGUUUUGUACAAUGAGAAAUACUAAUUUGUUUGACAUUCCAUAUUAAACUACUGUCAUGUUCAGCUUCAUUGCAUGUAAUGUAGACUAGUCCAUCAGAUCAUGUGUUUCUGGAGAGUGUUCUUUAUUCAAUAAAGUUUUAAUUUAGUAUAAAGAGAGCCUCUAUAUUCUGUGUGAUUUUUAAAACUCUUACUGCAUCUAUUCACAAUUAUAAAAAUAUUUCUAUUGGUUAUAAGAAUUUGGGCAAAUAAGAUUGACAAGAUUGCAAAAUCUUAAAAGGAUAGUAUUAGCUAGGUUUAGUGCAGUUUUGAUUAACAUUUUUGGAUAUUUAUUCAACUGAGAAGAAGACAAAGUAUAUAAUUGUUAAAUUUUGAAUAUAAGAUUAAUGAGCUGUGUGGUAGAGUCUAAAGUAAUAUUGAGUAAUUUAGUAGCCCUAUACAUGACAGAAGUAAGCAAAAAAAAA